ensembl:lncRNA
ACACGUGUUUGGCUUCACCGUGGAUCUCCGGACCGAUUUUGCUCCCAAUGAAAUGUUCUUUUUUUCUAAGAUGUUUAAUAGGAAAUCGAUAGCUGCUUCCAUCGACUUCGUAGCCCCGUGCGCGUGGUUUGGUUCAGAGGGCCGCAGGAUUCAAUGCUCCACGUGGAAGGAGCACUUCGGGUGCGUCUAUAGUCCUCGUUGGGGCACUACAGGAGAUUCAGAGCCAAACAGACCCAACCCGGAGCGGAACCCGGAGCCGAACCCGGGGCGGAGGGGCAGCCCCCAUCUGCGCAACGCGUUGGGAAGGGAUCGAGGAAGGCGGUUCGGGGGGUCGGGCAGGCUGAGAUCCGACCCACGCUGAGGAAAACGGGAACAGCAAAAGGGACCCCCGCUCAGAACCUCAUUAGUGCUAAUUAAGAGCUGCGCGUUAUUCCCCUGCCACGGAACCAUCCCCUGAUGGGCGGCCAGGUAAACCCGUGUUGCAGGAGGAGGAGGAGGGCGUAUUGGAAACCGAUUUGCAGCGUUUUAUGCCUUUUUUUUCUGCUCCUGAUCUGGCGUGGAGGAAAGGAAUCCGAGCUGCAAUGCCCUCCGCUUCCCAACAGUUCACAUUUCUAAAGGAAAUUCGGCCUAAAUCGAACAGCCCCCCCCCCAUCCCCCCUCCUCCCAGCAGAGAGCAGGAAGACGCGGGGCAGGACGGGCUGCGCCGAGGGGGGAGAGCGCUCUGAUUGCAGCCAAAUGACCCCGCUAUUAUCGUGAUUAUCUUUUAAAGAAGUUUGGCACCCUGGGAUCCAUCUCAGCUGGAAAUACCGACGACCGCCUGGACGACCGCUGGCAAUUAGCCAUUCGUUACAGCUGUUAACCCCCCCCACACACAACUGUAGGAUAUUUGGGAUCCGGCUCGAAAGGGGCAGUGUCAUAAAGGAGCACCGACCGAUGGGAUCCGCUCUGAAAUCCACUCCCGGAAAUGGAUGGCAGUGCUUUGGGAUGUGCCCAAAAGCCCUCAGAUGGGGUCUGAGGUUGGGGUCCCUCCGCUUCCCGUCAGUGCUGAUUUUGGGUGGGGAAAAAAGGGGAAUUGUGGACAGGCGGCUGUUGGGUUUGCUGUGCUGUACCCUCAGCUCUGAUGGGUUUUGGGUCUUCCCCACUGCCUCACCCGCAGGUUUGGGGUUGAUUUCCCUCCUGCCUUCGUACACAGAACCAUCAGCAAUGAGGAGAGGGCUGACAGAGGCCUCAUUUGGGAGCACAGAGCUCUGAGGAUGUGGGACCCACCUGGGGGUGCUGCCCCCCCCCCCGCCCACCCCCAGCAGCUCUUCACCCCCUCCAUAGGGCUGUCCCUCCCCGGCUGCUACGGGGCUGAGUUCUGAGCUCUGCAUCCCAGCAUCAGGAGCACAGAGACACACGAGGACACGAACACCCCCUGCAUCCCCCAUGGGAACACUGUGGGACCACGUGUGGGGCUGCUCUGCUCCCUCCCUUCCACCCCACUGUGCAAACCCUGCUCGUUAUUUGCACGGUUGUGUAUUUCUCUGCUGAUCCCCAUCAACCCCCAAGGUUCACCCAGGUGGGACUCCCGACCCUGGGAGGUGCUGCAGAGCACAGCAAUGAAAGUGUGCCCCCCAAAUCCCACCCGGGGACACCGGGUGGCUCUGAGUGAUCGACCCGAGGAAAGUUGGGGGGGCGGGGGGGGGAGGGGGCGGUGCCAGCGCUGGGGUGCGUGCGCUGUGCCCAUGGGGGCUCCUCGGGUGUCAGCUUUCCCCCCUCUAUCUCUCCCGAUCUCGGUGCGGUUGAACUCUGUGAACCCAGCACGGAGCAGCUGUGCUCCUCCAGCUGUGCUCCUCCAGCUGUGCCUCCCGGGGUGGGGGGGAGGAGCCCCUUUCAGUUGGUAAUGGGGCUGCGAACAAAGUCCUCCCGCUGCACACCCCCCCAACCCUCCCACCCCCCUUCAUCCUCGUGCGUGGCACAGUUCGGGAUGCGGGACACGGGGUGCGGGUCGGGACCCAAACGGGGUUUGCGGGGGGCGGUGCGGGGGGGUGGGGGCAUCGCUGCGGCGUUCAGCACUUUCCAUUUGUGUUGGAAUCGUGCGUUUGCAGCGCGACUCCUCCCGCCCCAUCGGCAGCACCGAGAGGGAAACCCUUUGGUGGAGGAGAGCUGCGGAUCCGUUCAGGGGAGUUUGGGACACAAAACCGUUCGGGCUCUGUUAAUACCUGAAUAAUUAACGCCGUCCUUUUAUUGCUCCCCCCCUCCCCCCCCCCUUUCACCUCCCCUUUUUUCUUCGAAUAUUGAAAUGCGGGGAUCUUUGUCGGAAGG